UACGUAGGGGGCAAGCGUUGUCCGGAAUUAUUGGGCGUAAAGAGCGCGUAGGCGGUCCGGUAAGUCGGUUGUGAAAGUCGGGGGCCCAACCCUCGGAUGCCGAUCGAUACUGUCGGGCUAGAGUCCGGAAGAGGCGAGUGGAAUUCCUGGUGUAGCGGUGAAAUGCGCAGAUAUCAGGAGGAACACCAAUGGCGAAGGCAGCUCGCUGGACCGGUUCUGACGCUGAGGCGCGAAAGCGUGGGGAGCAAACGGG
rnacentral:rRNA from 1 species